AAGUCGUAACAAGGUCUCCGUUGGUGAACCAGCGGAGGGAUCAUUACCGAGUUUUCGCAACUCCCAAACCCCCUGUGAACCAGUACCUGUGUUUGUUGCUUCGGCGGACGUCUGCCCUGCGCGGUCCGCCGGAGGGAACGCCAGAACUCUAAUUUUGUUCGCGUCUGAGUGGAAAAACAAAUGAAUCAAAACUUUCAACAACGGAUCUCUUGGUUCUG
rnacentral:misc_RNA from 1 species